GAUGAACGCUGGCGGCGUGCCUAAUACAUGCAAGUCGAGCGAACAGACGAGGAGCUUGCUCCUCUGACGUUAGCGGCGGACGUGUGAGUAACACGUGGAUAACCUACCUAUAAGACUGGGAUAACUUCGGGAAACCGGAUCUAAUACCGGAUAAUAUAUUGAACCGCAUGGUUCAAUAGUGAAAGACGGUUUUGCUGUCACUUAUAGAUGGAUCCGCGCCGCAUUAGCUAGUUGGUAAGGUAACGGCUUACCAAGGCGACGAUGCGUAGCCGACCUGAGAGGGUGAUCGGCCACACUGGAACUGAGACACGGUCCAGACUACUACGGGAGGCAGCAGUAGGGAAUCUUCCGCAAUGGGCGAAAGCCUGACGGAGCAACGCCGCGUGAGUGAUGAAGGUCUUCGGAUCGUAAAACUCUGUUAUUAGGGAAGAACAAAUGUGUAAGUAACUAUGCACGUCUUGACGGUACCUAAUCAGAAAGCCACGGCUAACUACGUG
rnacentral:rRNA from 1 species